AUGCUAUGAUGAAUCAUGAAAUAUAUUCGCAUGUCAGACUUCAGAGAUGCUAUUGCAUUGAUGAGAAGAUGCUUCAUGUUCUGAGCUGCAU